rnacentral:rRNA from 1 species
UGAGGAAUAUUCGGCAAUGGGCGCAAGCCUGACCGAGCCAUGCCGCGUGAGUGAAGAAGGCCCUAGGGUUGUAAAGCGCUUUCACCGAUGAAGAUAAUGACGGUAGUCGGAGAAGAAGCCCCGGCUAACUUCGUGCCAGCAGCCGCGGUAAUACGAAGGGGGCUAGCGUUGUUCGGAAUUACUGGGCGUAAAGCGCGCGUAGGCGGACUAUUAAGUCAGGGGUGAAAUCCCGGGGCUCAACCCCGGAACUGCCUUUGAUACUGGUAGUCUUGAGUUCGAGAGAGGUGAGUGGAACUCCGAGUGUAGAGGUGAAAUUCGUAUAUAUUCGGAAGAACACCAGUGGCGAAGGCGGCUCACUGGCUCGAUACUGACGCUGAGGUGCGAAAGUGUGGGGAGCAAACAGGAUUAGAUAC